GCCGGUCUGCAAGGCCUGUAGUGUGCACAAUCCACCAGCCAGAUUGGGAGGAGGAUGGUUGAUUGCAGGAUAGCUGAGGUGAAGAGAGGAGAGGGGCAGGAUGAAGUUGGAGAAUGGUUCUCGGGAAGCAGAGGGAUAGUUUGAGUUUUGGUGGAAAGGGCAGCGCCAAGGACAAGGAGUAAGGUUGGUCUGAGAGAUAGAAAGUGUUUUUGGUCACAGAACUCCUUUUUUAAAUCUCUGCCUUUUGACAGUUGUGUAGGUAGCUUUUCUUUUGUGUUGGUUUAUGUAGAUGGUUAAUAUUUGACACCAACAAAUGGGCUUUACAGUGACACCUAUUUUUUGUUGAGUCCUUUAGAUUCAGAUGUUGUAGACUUUCAGCACUUCUAGUUUCCUUGCCUUGCAGCACCAUGUGAGUGAAAUCAGGUGUCAAACCAGUUGUUAGUGGUUUUCCAUUUAUAAUAGGCACAGCACACCGUGGCACAGCCUGACACCUCCGUCAGGUGAGGGGAAACUGAGGUGUGAUUCAGGAAGGAAUCAGGAAAUUUGGCGACCUGUGUCUCUCAGAGGAGCAAUCCCAGUCCAAUCAAAGUAGUAUGGGCCAGUCUUUUCUAAUGGCCAUUUGGUCCGCAGCAGGUUGACACACCGCUGGUUAGAUGUUUAAAGGAAGUCACCACAAGGCAGUGUAGGAGAGGCUGGCUGAACCCAGUGUGUCCUCAAGCUCCACUCCAGCUACUCACCACAAGAAACCCACAAGAGGAGACGCAUUCAAUAAAGUGUUUCAUCAGGUAAGGCUGAAGAGGACAUGACGGCCUGACUGCUUGCAGAUGAUGUCCACCUCCUAUUUCCGCUCUUUCUCUUCUCUCAUUCCCUUCUUUUUCUAUUUCCUCUACCCCUGUAACCUUCCCCUCUCAGCCCCCGCUCACUGCAUGCACCGGUCCUGCUCUCUCUCGCUCUGCCUCUUGCAGCUGAAGCAACACGCCUUGCUGUGGCUGGUCAAACGGAACCAAGUCAGGUGUUUCUGUGAGGUUUGGUCCCCUUCAACCAGCUACUGCGCCGUGAAUUCAGUCAGCAGACCCCAGCGUGGAAACAAAGACACAGAGGCGUUGUGGUGUAUGCUGCAUACUUUAGUGGAGGUGGUAGUUUAUUGACAAUGAUAGAUGAUGUAUUUUCUUUAGUAGUUUGGUGUUUGUUGUUUGCUGUGUGACAAUGGAUGUCAAUAAAAGGUUUCUGACAACAUUCAGUGGUAGAUUUAAAUGUCUAAAAUGUAAAGAAAAUUUAAAGGACGUAUUGCUAGAGUCAGAUUUCCUUCUACAAUCCCGUUUGAAACGGUUUGAAAGGGUAGCGUUUUUCUAGUUUUUGAUUAGACACACAAUGGAAGUGUAUGACUGACCUAGUUUUUUGCACCCAAGUAUUAUUCUGAACAGUAUAAUGAGUAGUCAUUAUGGAUAGUUAGUCUGAUGAUAACAUUUUUCAUUGCACUACCAAAAGCUCAAUUACCAGGUGAUUCAAAGAGUAUGCACAAUACCACUUUCAGCGAAAAACACCUCCACCAAAAGUCUAACUUGUCUAACUGUUGAGGGAGAUGAGACUGUAAUAAAAAUUAGAUUAUGAUGAGUUUUGCCCACCCUAUAGAUGUAGUCAGUCUUUGUCAUAUGUCUUUCAGUAUACUAAAAUUAUAUAUAUAUUCUUACCAUUUCCUACAUUUUUGUUGUAAACAAACCAACAAACAAACCAAAUAUUAAAAUAGUUUAGUAAGGAGAACACGCUACCCUGUACGUAGGAUAAGCGGUUGGCGAUGGAUGGAUGGAUGAAUGGAUAGUAAGGAGAACUAUUUAGUUAUAAAUGUUUAGUCUCAUAAUAGUGUUUCUUCCUCUUAUCUAUUAGGUUGCUUAUUUAUUGUACAUCAUGGUGACAAGAUCUAUCUAAAGUUAGACUACAGUCCAGAGUCUUACAGUGCACCCUGAGUCUAUAGGCCAGAGGAUUCAGAACUGUGGACAGCAUGCACGAGUCCUUCAAUAAUAAUGAUUAUAAUGAGAGAUGUUUUGUGUUUUUGGUGAUGUAAUGUACAAGAGGUAUUUCUGAAGGCCAACCAGACAGUCUGGAGGUCUCCAUUUAAAGAAAUUGUCCUGUUAUUAUUAAAGUCCCGGGUUUGACACUCAUAUUUCACACACAUUUCCAUCACCCAUGCACACGUUCACUCAUUAUGAAGUGGGUAAUGAGGUAAAAAAUGUAAAUUAAAAAGAGAGUAUUUAAAAUGG